GAGACUCUGUGCGCGUGCAUAUCAAUAAGCGGAGGAAAAGAAACUAACAAGGAUUCCCUUAGUAACGGCGAGUGAAGCGGGAAGAGCUCAAAUUUGAAAUCUUCAAGGUUCUACCUUGACGAAUUGUAGUUUAUAGAAGUGUUUUCUGUUAGUAGAGUGGCAAAAGUUCUUUGGAAUAGGACAUCAUAGAGGGUGAGAAUCCCGUAUUUGGUCAUUCUUUCUAGCUUUGUGAUACACUUUCAACGAGUCGGAUUGUUUGGGAAUGCAGUCCAAAAUGGGUGGUAAAUUUCAUCUAAAGCUAAAUAUUGGCGAGAGACCGAUAGCGAACAAGUACCGUGAGGGAAAGAUGAAAAGAACUUUGAAAAGAGAGUUAAACAGUACGUGAAAUUGUCAAAAGGGAAGCGUUUGACACCAGUGUUGUUUUUCCGAAAAUCAAUUACGAAUGUUUUGUUUUUAAGAAGUUAUGACUUCAUCGGCUUGCUUCUUUCUUUACGAAACUUUCUUAACGCACUUUUCGGUUAACAAGUCAACAUCAAUUUCUUUUGUUGUAAAAGGGUAUGAGGAAGGUGGCUUUCUUUUCGGAGAAAGUGUUUAUAGCCUUGUACCUCUGCAAUCGGAGAGAUUGAGGUCUGCAGCGUAGAUCCUUCGGGGUUAGAUACAUUUGUGCUAAGUUAUAGCUUUUCAUAGACAACUUGUUGACUAUGUUUAGUCUUGUAGCUUACUCGCUUAUGCUAUUUUACCUACGCUUAGGAUGUUGAACUCUAUCACACACAG
rnacentral:rRNA from 1 species